GAGGGUAUAGCUCAGUGGGAGAGUGCGUGCUUAGCAUGCACGGGGUCCUAGGUUCAAUCCCCAGUACUUCUG
rnacentral:tRNA from 1 species